GUUGCAGACACAAUCUCCUAUGGUCGAGGAUGAUGGGGAUGAGAAUGUUAUUUUCGAGGAGGAUGAUGAAGAAGAUGAGGGUUACCUUUUUGCCGGACAAGAUGGUGAAUCCGACGAUGAUGGCGAUGUAACUUCAUGUGGAGAUGAUGCCGAUGUGUCGGAUGUAAUUGAUCCCUUCGGCAAAGUGUUUGAAAAUGUACCAUCUGAGACGCAUAAGCUUGAGCCAGUUGCUAAUU